CGAACGGUGGUCUAGCAGUUAGAACGCUGGCCUUGUAAUCCUGGGGUCUCGGGUUCGAUUCCCGGCGGUGCCC
rnacentral:tRNA from 1 species